AGUAAAUUCCAUAGUGUUAAAUAUGCAGUGUCAAAGUACAUUGACUCUUACAGAGUUAUUACUACAACAGUUGGAGUAAGAUACCGCCCAGUGUUGGUGAAAAAGUACGUUGUUAAAAGACGCAGUGUCAGACGUACUCUGGAAAGCUCCGCCCACCUACGACUCGUCUCAAACGGACCACACAUUUUCACGGCGCCAUUUUCUUCAUGUGGAAUGACUGCGGGAGCAUGCUGCUUAAAGCUAAACUUGGAGAUGUCCAAAAAUUUGUCAGAAUAACUGAGCCAAAUCUGAAAGACUUUUUGAUUGCAGGUAAGAAUUUGACAAUGUUAGUAAUAACUGUCUGAAUUUAGCUGUUUAAAAUUGAUAUACUGGAAUAUUCCUAAAAUGAUGGGACAUGUUAAGUUCUCAGGUUUUUGGAACUGGUCCAUUUUUGUACGUCUAAAUUUCUUCUGUUUUGCCCUUGGUAACUACACUUUAAUUGUGGAUGCAUUGCUUAAGGUAUAGUUAUGAUGCUACAAAAAAAACAUUUUAAUCACUUAAUAGUGUUUGUUUAAAACCUAUUUUAUAGGGUAAGGUAGGUGUACACAGUGAAAUUAUUAUAUAAAUAAUGAUUUACUUUUGUUUACACAAGCUUUUAUCCCUGUUUUUUCUAGCAUUUGCAAAGUUUGGUGUCCCAGCUGUAACAGAAGGUGUGAAAAUUGUUGACAGUUCAGGGACUGAAUUGGAUGAUGAUGUUUUUGAGGAUAUUAUAAAGGAUCCCUCAACUGGGGUGCUAACCAUCAAAUAUGACUCAGAAUCUGUCUCCAUGGUGGCCUCUUCUGAGCAAUCCCAACCAUCAUCCCUUGAUACCUUGGACUCUGAGGAUACAGUCAUUAUUUCAGAUAGCCCCCUCCAGAAAACGCCAGAGGCUGGAUACAGAAGCCAAGCAAGUAAGACAAUUCUGACAUUUUAAAUUCUGUUCUUGAAUCUGUUCUCAGAGAAUUAAAAUUACAUUAAUAUACAUUGUAAAUUACAUGG